AUCUCUUCUCGGCCUUUUGGCUAAGAUCAAGUGUAGUAUCUGUUCUUAUCAGUUUAAUUGUGGUAAAAAACACAUAAUGCAGAAUUUACCAUCUUAAUCAUUUUUAAGUGUACAGUUU
rnacentral:snRNA from 1 species